rnacentral:tRNA from 1 species
GGAGAGGUGGCAGAGCGGUUGAAUGCACCGGUCUUGAAAACCGGCAUCGGGUAACUCCCGAUCGAGGGUUCGAAUCCCUCCCUCUCCGCCA